rnacentral:rRNA from 1 species
UACGAAGGGAGCUAGCGUUGUUCGGAAUCACUGGGCGUAAAGCGCACGUAGGCGGAUGUGUCAGUCAGGGGUGAAAUCCCGGAGCUCAACUCCAGAACUGCCUUUGAUACUGGCAACCUUGAGUCCGGGAGAGGUGAGUGGAACUGCGAGUGUAGAGGUGAAAUUCGUAGAUAUUCGCAAGAACACCAGUGGCGAAGGCGGCUCACUGGCCCGGUACUGACGCUGAGGUGCGAAAGCGUGGGGAGCAAACAGG